GCAGUGGUGGUUCAGUGGUAGAAUUUUAGCCUUCCAUGUGGGAGACCCAAGUUCAAUUUCUGGCCAUUGUA
rnacentral:tRNA from 1 species